GACGAACCGUGCGAACGUUGUUCGGAAUCACUGGGCUUAAAGGGCGCGUAGGCGGGUUCGCAAGUCAGGGGUGAAAUCUUUCAGCUUAACUGGAAAACAGCCCCUGAUACUGCGAGUCUCGAGGGAGGUAGGGGCAUGUGGAACUUCCGGUGGAGCGGUGAAAUGCGUAGAUAUCGGAAGGAACGCCGGUGGCGAAAGCGACGUGCUGGACCUCUUCUGACGCUGAGGCGCGAAAGCUAGGGAGCAAACGGG
rnacentral:rRNA from 1 species